UUUGAUCCUGGCUCAGAUUGAACGCUGGCGGCAGGCUUAACACAUGCAAGUCGAGCGGUAACAUUUCUAGCUUGCUAGAAGAUGACGAGCGGCGGACGGGUGAGUAAUGCUUGGGAAACUGCCUGGAAGUGGGGGACAACAGUUGGAAACGACUGCUAAUACCGCAUAAUGUCUUCGGACCAAAGGAGGGGCUCUUCGGACCUUUCGCUUUCAGAUGUGCCCAAGUGGGAUUAGCUAGAUGGUGGGGUAAUGGCCUACCAUGGCGACGAUCCCUAGCUGGUUUGAGAGGAUGAUCAGCCACACUGGGACUGAGACACGGCCCAGACUCCUACGGGAGGCAGCAGUGGGGAAUAUUGCACAAUGGGCGCAAGCCUGAUGCAGCCAUGCCGCGUGUGUGAAGAAGGCCUUCGGGUUGUAAAGCACUUUCAGUUGUGAGGAAGGUUGUGUGGUUAAUACCCAUAUAAUUGACGUUAGCA
rnacentral:rRNA from 1 species